rnacentral:lncRNA from 1 species
AAGAAAAGUCAGAUCAACAGAGAAGCCGUCUCAUGCAAUAUUAUUGGGAGUUUUUUUUUUUUUUUUUUUUAAAUUUUUUUUAAAUUAAAAAAAAACCCCCUUUUCAUAUUAAGUAAGAUGUAGUAGAUUAGAUUAGAUACACAGUUGAAAGAAAACUUGAGCAUCAUCAUAAAGGAUUCAGACUGUACGUUUCCAUUGUCAAGGAACAAAUCCAUUAAUCUAAGGUUAAAUUAAUUGUAUAUACUUAAGCACUUUGUUUAGAAUAAUAUAGGGAUAAACAAGCAAUUAUAAUGCCACUUGAGCCAUAUAAAAAAACAUUAUAUAUUCCAUGCUUAGUUAAAGAGAUGAUGAAAAACUAAAGUAAAGUUACUGCUGCGUACAUAAAUUAACUGCAAAUAAACAAAAGUCAAAGAAAGAUGGGAAUUUUUUAAAAGGGGAGAAGGAAACGAGGGAUGAACUUUGCAGACACCAACAAAUCUUUCACUGCAUAUCUUUAGAUUAUGUUACAACGAAACUGUGUGACUCAGUGGAUUCAUGUGUUGUCAUCUACCAAGAAAGCCUUAAAAUAUAUGAAAUAAGUAAGUAUACAAUUUACAGGUGUUGGUGC